AGAAGUUCAAAUAUUUCAACGCAUCCGAAGCUCAAAUCGGAUCCGAAAUUUCCGCAUUCGCAUAUGAUCGGAACUCCACGCAGCCCCCGUACUACUCUCCCUUGGAAAAGAAUGACUUCCGGUCCAACGGCUGUCGUUUGUCGUGCGCAGUGGAAAGUUGGCUUCAGGAAGAAGUUACUACUUUGUUUCUGAACGUUGUAUUGAUGAGCGUAUUGAUGGCUACAGGAAGAGUCGUUUCUCCGCCCUGUCCCCUCAUCCCA